GACGAACGCUGGCGGCGUGCUUAACACAUGCAAGUCGAGCGAGGUGCUUAUAACAGAACUCUUCGGAGGGAAGACUUAAGUAUCCUAGCGGCGGACGGGUGAGUAACGCGUGAGAAACCUGCCAUUCACAAGGGGAUAGCCUCAGGAAACUGGGAUUAAUACCCUAUGAAACUCUAUUAUCGCAUGGUAAGAGGGUUAAAGCGUAAAGCGGUGUUUGAUGGUCUCGCGUCCCAUUAGCUAGUUGGUGAGGUAACGGCUCACCAAGGCGACGAUGGGUAACCGGCUUGAGAGAGUGAACGGUCACACUGGAACUGAGACACGGUCCAGACUCCUACGGGAGGCAGCAGUGGGGAAUAUUGCACAAUGGAGGAAACUCUGAUGCAGCGACGCCGCGUGAACGAAGACGGUCUUCGGAUUGUAAAGUUCUGUCAACGGGGACGAUAAUGACGGUACCCGUGGAGGAAGCCACGGCUAACUACGUGCCA
rnacentral:rRNA from 1 species